rnacentral:rRNA from 1 species
AUUGAACGCUGGCGGCAGGCCUAACACAUGCAAGUCGAGAGGAGCGGCGGACGGGAGAGUAAUGCCUAGGAAUCUGCCUGGGAGUGGGGGAUAAGGUCCGGAAACGGGCGCUAAUACCGCAUACUAUCAGAUGAGCCUAGGUCGGAUUAGCUAGUUGGUGGGGUAAGGGCCUACCAAGGCGACGAUCCGUAACUGGUCUGAGAGGAUGAUCAGUCAAAUGGGAACUGAGCCACGGGCCAGACUCCGACGGGAGGCAGCAGUGGGGAAUAUUGUACAAUGGGCGAAAGCCUGAUCCAGCCAUGCCGCGUGUGUGAAGAAGGUCUUCGGAUUGUAAAGCACUUUAAGUUGGGAGGCGUUACCAACAGAAUAAGCACCGGCUAACUUCGUGCCAGCAGCCGCGGUAAUAC